rnacentral:lncRNA from 1 species
GUGAAGAGUUUUAAUGACCAAAGAGAAGGCCCAUUAAGUGCCAUUAUUUUAUUAUUGAGAUAAAGAGACACUGGGAUUUAACUGAAAUGAUCUGCAACCCUAGGCAGACUACAGGCCACAUAUUGAGACAAAUUAGGACGUGACACUAAUGGUCUAGGAUAUGAAAGGAGUGUUAACCAGGAAUGAAUCUGUGCUACAGAAAAAAAAAAUAGAAAACUUCCAUAUAAACAUGAUGCGCCAUUCCAUCUCUGGACUUAUAGAAAGGAUUUUCAGUUUCAAA